rnacentral:rRNA from 1 species
CGCGUAGGCGGGUUGGCAAGUCCGGGGUGAAAUCUUUCAGCUUAACUGGAAAAGUGCCCCUGAUACUGCCAGUCUCGAGGGAGGUAGGGGCAUGUGGAACUUCCGGUGGAGCGGUGAAAUGCGUAGAUAUCGGAAGGAACGCCGGUGGCGAAAGCGACGUGCUGGACCUCUUCUGACGCUGAGGCGCGAAAGCUAGGGGAAGGCAAACG